AAGAAGCCUUGUGCAAGUGGACUCCCAUUUUUUUAAAUGUUUCUUGAUAUUCAGGACACUAUGGAGCCUUGGAUCAGUGAGUUACUCUGCCAGCGAGAGGAUGAGACCCUGCAGCGUGUGUUUACUCGUUCAGACACAUUUACCGAGCCCCUAGCACGUAUGGCGCUGGGAACGGACACGGUCCACAGGAGGCACGGGGUGCCACGUGGCAUAGCGGUCGAGGGCGCGGAAUCUGGGCGCAGCUCUUUGGCUUCAAAUCCCUGCCAGACGCGCAGGGCAGGCGGCAGGAGGGGAGAGAUCUGGAGCAAAGGUGGAAGGCCCGGAAGACACUUCGGCGUGGGAGCCGCAGGGGCGGAGUCGAGCGUGGCUGCAGGUGCUGACUCUGAAGU